ACGUAGGAGACGAGCGUUAUCCGGAUUUACUGGGUGUAAAGCGCGUGCAGGCGGUUUAGCAAGUCGUGCGUGAAAGCGCUCUGGCUCAACCGGGCGAGGACGUACCGAACUGCGGGACUAGAGGCAGGGAGAGGCGUGUGGAAUUCCGGGUGUAGUGGUGAAAUGCGUAGAGAUCCGGAGGAACACCAGUGGCGAAGGCGACACGCUGGGCCUGGCCUGACGCUCAUACGCGAAAGCAUGGGGAGCGAACGG
rnacentral:rRNA from 1 species